CGAUUUUGAAGUCAACACAGUCCCAUUAGUUUUCUUUGUAGCCUCGUUUGAAUGUUGCGGUUGCGCACAUUUGUACGGAAUGGGAAAAUGAAAAGUGAAGAUUAUAAUUAUACAUCCACAACUGAUCAAGACCAGAGCUGUUUCCCACGAAUUAUGCCAGGAAGUUGAUUGUUCCUCAAAAUUGUUUGUUGCAGGACUAUCCAGAAGUUCACCUGGGCAGGCCCAAAAAAGGCAGAAAAGCCAGUCUUGUUCUCCCUCUACCCCAGCCCAGGAUGAAUUUAAUGGGGACACGCCUAGACAUGGUAAGAGAAACUGGAGAGUCAGUGGGAAAUGUCAAACCUUUCACAGGGGAGCAUA